rnacentral:rRNA from 1 species
GCGGACGGGUGAGUAAUGCAUGGGGAGCUGCCCAAUUGAGGGGGAUAACAACUGGAAACGGUUGCUAAUACCGCAUACGCCCUGCGGGGGAAAGGUGGGGACCUUCGGGCCUACCGCGAUUGGAUGCACCCAUGUGGGAUUAGCUAGUUGGUGAGGUAACGGCUCACCAAGGCGACGAUCUCUAGCUGGUCUGAGAGGAUGACCAGCCACACUGGAACUGAGACACGGUCCAGACUCCUACGGGAGGCAGCAGUGGGGAAUAUUGCACAAUGGGGGAAACCCUGAUGCAGCCAUGCCGCGUGUGUGAAGAAGGCCUUCGGGUUGUAAAGCACUUUCAGUGGGGAGGAAGGGCUGAUGACUAAUAUUCAUCAGCAUUGACGUUACCCACAGAAGAAGCACCGGCUAACUCCGUGCCAGCAGCCGCGGUAAUACGGAGGGUGCAAGCGUUAAUCGGAAUAACUGGGCGUAAAGCGCACGCAGGCGGUUAGAUAAGUCAGAUGUGAAAGCCCCGGGCUCAACCUGGGAACUGCAUUUGAAACUGUCUGACUAGAGUCUUGUACAGGGGGGUAGAAUUCCAGGUGUAGCGG